GACAGAAAUGUUUUUCNGGUGUGCUGGG
rnacentral:piRNA from 1 species